CUGGAUGAUAACAGUUACAGGCAUGGUUCCUCACCAGAUGAUGGCUCUCACCGCGGUGGGUUAUCUGGUUACGCUGCUGGUUUUGGUGCAUGUACCACUAGUCGAAGGUAGUGGCAGCAUCUUCG